AGUGAACGCUGGCGGUAGGCCUAACACAUGCAAGUCGAACGGCAGCACAGUAAGAGCUUGCUCUUACGGGUGGCGAGUGGCGGACGGGUGAGGAAUACAUCGGAAUCUACUUUUUCGUGGGGGAUAACGUAGGGAAACUUACGCUAAUACCGCAUACGACCUACGGGUGAAAGCAGGGGAUCUUCGGACCUUGCGCGAUUGAAUGAGCCGAUGUCGGAUUAGCUAGUUGGCGGGGUAAAGCCCCACCAAGGCGACGAUCCGUAGCUGGUCUGAGAGGAUGAUCAGCCACACUGGAACUGAGACACGGUCCAGACUCCUACGGGAGGCAGCAGUGGGGAAUAUUGGACAAUGGGCGCAAGCCUGAUCCAGCUAUACCGCGUGGGUGAAGAAGGCCUUCGGGUUGUAAAGCCCUUUUGUUGGGAAAGAAAAGCAGCAGGUUAAUACCCCGCUGUUCUGACGGUACCCAAAGAAUAAGCACCGGCUAACUUCGUG
rnacentral:rRNA from 1 species